CUAUCUUAGUGGCGGACGGGUGAGUAACGCGUGGGUAACCUGCCUUGCAUUGGGGGAUAACACUUAGAAAUAGGUGCUAAUACCGCAUAACAGUAGGAGACGCAUGUCUUUUACUUGAAAACUCCGGUGGUGUAAGAUGGACCCGCGUCUGAUUAGCUUGUUGGCGGGGUAACGGCCCACCAAGGCAACGAUCAGUAGCCGGCCUGAGAGGGUGAACGGCCACAUUGGGACUGAGACACGGCCCAAACUCCUACGGAAGGCAGCAG
rnacentral:rRNA from 1 species